UGAAUAAUUUUUAUAGCAUAAAAGCUAAAUAAAUUUAUACAUACUUAAAUACAGUAAGUCAAAAUAUUUAAUUUAAUUUACAAAAACAAGAGUGCCUCCGAAUAAACAAAAGUAAAGAGGACUAUGAACCUACGGUUUGGAAAAUGCAGAUCCCACUGUAGUCCUCGAUGAGAUCAGCUAUCUACAGUCUAUACUGAACCUGAAAUGGGUGAAAAUGAGGGUGGUGAGAUUAUAAAAUCCUAAUGAGUAAACAGACAUCAUCAUAAACAUCUAGAGUUAAGUACAUGGAGACAAUAAAGUAAAUCAUCAUAAACUGGGUUAUACAAUUAGAACACAUCUCGUUCAAAAUACGUAAAAAGGCUUAUGACUCUCAUAAAAAUCUAGGCUUGUGCCAUAAAUCCAUUCUCGGGGACACCUUGGCCGAGGCAUCCUACCAAGACUGCUAAAGCUAUUAAAAUUCACAUUUCACAUAAAUCAUGUUUUUGUUUUGAAAACAUAGUCGUUUCUUGGCGUUGGCUGAGUUUCCCUUCACGUGGUGGUUUGGCGUGAAGUGAACCCUAAGCUUUACCCCAGGAUAUACCCUACGCGCCUCUCCGUUCAAGGUAAGAAUAUAAUGGGAUUUACCGUGCCCUUCUAAAAGGCUGGUCUACAGAAACCCCCUACUGCAGUGAUUAAUUAAUAUAUAAUCCACCAUAUAAUAAAACUCAAUAACAUGAUAUGGCAAUUUUGUAAUUCGUAGUUUUUCAAGGUAACCAAACAAUUCGCAUUUCAAUACAAUUGCCAACUAGCCAAUCAUGCUCGAUUUAUCAUAAGCCAGUUAAUUUAAACAAUCAAAUUGCCACAAUUAACAGUCUCCGUGUACUCUAUUUUUCAAAAUCACUAUUAAUUUCAAAACAAUUUAUAAUUUAAUUUCAUUGAAACUCAUUUAUUCAUAAAACAUGAAAAUUUAUCUUUUUAAAUUCCUUUUUCCAUAGAAUUCAUGAAAGCAUCUAAAAACCACCCUAGAUAAUUAAAAUGACAGUAAGUUUACUCACAAUGUCUAGAAUGCAGACUUUCGAAGCACUCUGUCUACUGGUCCUCGGAUGCAAUUUCCUUGCCUUUAUCGGAGGACUCACCACCUU
rnacentral:lncRNA from 1 species